rnacentral:rRNA from 1 species
CUCCAACGAGCGCAACCCUGACGCAGCAACGCCGCGUGCAGGAAGAAGGUCUUCGGAUUGUAAACUGUUGUCGCAAGGGAAGAAGACAGUGACGGUACCUUGUGAGAAAGUCACGGCUAACUACGUGCCAGCAGCCGCGGUAAUACGUAGGUGACAAGCGUUGUCCGGAUUUACUGGGUGUAAAGGGCGCGUAGGCGGACUGUCAAGUCAGUCGUGAAAUACCGGGGCUUAACCCCGGGGCUGCGAUUGAAACUGACAGCCUUGAGUAUCGGAGAGGAAAGCGGAAUUCCUAGUGUAGCGGUGAAAUGCGUAGAUAUUAGGAGGAACACCAGUGGCGAAGGCGGCUUUCUGGACGACAACUGACGCUGAGGCGCGAAAGUGUGGG